rnacentral:rRNA from 1 species
GGUUAAGCGACUAAGCGUACACGGUGGAUGCCCUGGCAGUCAGAGGCGAUGAAGGACGUACUAAUCUGCGAAAAGCGUCGGUAAGGUGAUAUGAACCGUUAUAACCGGCGAUGUCCGAAUGGGGAAACCCAGUGCAAUUCGUUGCACUAUCGUUAACUGAAUACAUAGGUUAACGAGGCGAACCGGGGGAACUGAAACAUCUAAGUACCCCGAGGAAAAGAAAUCAACCGAGAUUCCCCCAGUAGCGGCGAGCGAACGGGGAGCAGCCCAGAGUCUGAAUCAGCUUGUGUGUUAGUGGAACGGUCUGGAAAGUCCGACGGUACAGGGUGAUAGUCCCGUACACCAAAAUGCACAGGCUGUGAACUCGAAGAGUAGGGCGGGACACGUGGUAUCCUGUCUGAAUAUGGGGGGACCAUCCUCCAAGGCUAAAUACUCCUGACUGACCGAUAGUGAACCAGUACCGUGAGGGAAAGGCGAAAAGAACCCCGGCGAGGGGAGUGAAAAAGAACCUGAAACCGUGUACGUACAAGCAGUGGGAGCACCUUCGGGUGUGACUGCGUACCUUUUGUAUAAUGGGUCAGCGACUUAUAUUCUGUAGCAAGGUUAACCGUAUAGGGGAGCCGCAGGGAAACCGAGUCUUAACUGGGCGUUAAGUUGCAGGGUAUAGACCCGAAACCCGGUGAUCUAGCCAUGGGCAGGUUGAAGGUUGGGUAACACUAACUGGAGGACCGAACCGACUAAUGUUGAAAAAUUAGCGGAUGACUUGUGGCUGGGGGUGAAAGGCCAAUCAAACCGGGAGAUAGCUGGUUCUCCCCGAAAGCUAUUUAGGUAGCGCCUCGUGAACUCAUCUUCGGGGGUAGAGCACUGUUUCGGCUAGGGGGUCAUCCCGACUUACCAACCCGAUGCAAACUACGAAUACCGAAGAAUGUUAUCACGGGAGACACACGGUGGGUGCUAACGUCCGUCGUGAAGAGGGAAACAACCCAGACCGCCAGCUAAGGUCCCAAAGUCAUGGUUAAGUGGGAAACGAUGUGGGAAGGCACAGACAGCCAGGAUGUUGGCUUAGAAGCAGCCAUCAUUUAAAGAAAGCGUAAUAGCUCACUGGUCGAGUCGGCCUGCGCGGAAGAUGUAACGGGGCUAAACCAUGCACCGAAGCUGCGGCAGCGACACUAUGUGUUGUUGGGUAGGGGAGCGUUCUGUAAGCCUGCGAAGGUGACCUGUGAGGGUUGCUGGAGGUAUCAGAAGUGCGAAUGCUGACAUAAGUAACGAUAAAGCGGGUGAAAAGCCCGCUCGCCGGAAGACCAAGGGUUCCUGUCCAACGUUAAUCGGGGCAGGGUGAGUCGACCCCUAAGGCGAGGCCGAAAGGCGUAGUCGAUGGGAAACAGGUUAAUAUUCCUGUACUUGGUGUUACUGCGAAGGGGGGACGGAGAAGGCUAUGUUAGCCGGGCGACGGUUGUCCCGGUUUAAGCAUGUAGGCUGGUUAUCCAGGCAAAUCCGGAUAAUCAAGGCUGAGGUGUGAUGACGAGGCACUACGGUGCUGAAGUAACAAAUGCCCUGCUUCCAGGAAAAGCCUCUAAGCAUCAGGUAACAUCAAAUCGUACCCCAAACCGACACAGGUGGUCAGGUAGAGAAUACCAAGGCGCUUGAGAGAACUCGGGUGAAGGAACUAGGCAAAAUGGUGCCGUAACUUCGGGAGAAGGCACGCUGGUGUGUAGGUGAAGUCCCUGCGGAUGGAGCUGAGACCAGUCGAAGAUACCAGCUGGCUGCAACUGUUUAUUAAAAACACAGCACUGUGCAAACACGAAAGUGGACGUAUACGGUGUGACGCCUGCCCGGUGCCGGAAGGUUAAUUGAUGGGGUUAUCCGUAAGGAGAAGCUCUUGAUCGAAGCCCCGGUAAACGGCGGCCGUAACUAUAACGGUCCUAAGGUAGCGAAAUUCCUUGUCGGGUAAGUUCCGACCUGCACGAAUGGCGUAAUGAUGGCCAGGCUGUCUCCACCCGAGACUCAGUGAAAUUGAACUCGCUGUGAAGAUGCAGUGUACCCGCGGCAAGACGGAAAGACCCCGUGAACCUUUACUAUAGCUUGACACUGAACAUUGAGCCUUGAUGUGUAGGAUAGGUGGGAGGCUUUGAAGCGUGGACGCCAGUCUGCGUGGAGCCAACCUUGAAAUACCACCCUUUAAUGUUUGAUGUUCUAACGUUGGCCCCUGACCGGGGUUGCGGACAGUGUCUGGUGGGUAGUUUGACUGGGGCGGUCUCCUCCCAAAGCGUAACGGAGGAGCACGAAGGUUAGCUAAUCCUGGUCGGACAUCAGGAGGUUAGUGCAAUGGCAUAAGCUAGCUUGACUGCGAGCGUGACGGCGCGAGCAGGUGCGAAAGCAGGUCAUAGUGAUCCGGUGGUUCUGAAUGGAAGGGCCAUCGCUCAACGGAUAAAAGGUACUCCGGGGAUAACAGGCUGAUACCGCCCAAGAGUUCAUAUCGACGGCGGUGUUUGGCACCUCGAUGUCGGCUCAUCACAUCCUGGGGCUGAAGUAGGUCCCAAGGGUAUGGCUGUUCGCCAUUUAAAGUGGUACGCGAGCUGGGUUUAGAACGUCGUGAGACAGUUCGGUCCCUAUCUGCCGUGGGCGCUGGAGAAUUGAGGGGGGCUGCUCCUAGUACGAGAGGACCGGAGUGGACGCAUCACUGGUGUUCGGGUUGUCAUGCCAAUGGCACUGCCCGGUAGCUAAAUGCGGAAGAGAUAAGUGCUGAAAGCAUCUAAGCACGAAACUUGCCCCGAGAUGAGUUCUCCCUGAGACUUUAAGUCUCCUGAAGGAACGUUAAAGACGAUGACGUUGAUAGGCCGGGUGUGUAAGCGCAGCGAUGCGUUGAGCUAACCGGUACUAAUGAACCGUGAGGCUUAACCUU